rnacentral:rRNA from 1 species
CCUACGGGUGGCAGCAGUGAGGAAUAUUGGUCAAUGGCCGUAAGGCUGAACCAGCCAAGUAGCGUGAGGGAAGACUGCCCUAUGGGUUGUAAACCUCUUUUAUGCGGGGAUAAAGGUGUCCACGUGUGCCUUUUUGCAUGUACUUUAUGAAUAAGGAUCGGCUAACUCCGUGCCAGCAGCCGCGGUAAUACGGAGGAUCCGAGCGUUAUCCGGAUUUAUUGGGUUUAAAGGGAGCGUAGAUGGGUUGUUAAGUCAGUUGUGAAAGUUUGCGGCUCAACCGUAAAAUUGCAAUUGAUACUGGCAGUCUUGAGUACAGUUGAGGUAGGCGGAAUUCGUGGUGUAGCGGUGAAAUGCUUAGAUAUCACGAAGAACCCCGAUUGCGAAGGCAGCUUACUAAACUGUGACUGACAUUGAUGCUCGAAAGUGUGGGUAUCAAACAGGAUUAGAUACCCUUGUAGUC